rnacentral:rRNA from 1 species
CGUGUAGGCGGGUAUAUAAGUCAGAAGUGAAAUCCUAUAGCUUAACUAUAGAACUGCUUUUGAAACUGUAUACCUAAAAUGUGGGAGAGGUAGAUGGAAUUUCUGGUGUAGGGGUAAAAUCCGUAGAGAUCAGAAGGAAUACCGAUUGCGAAGGCGAUCUACUGGAACAUUAUUGACGCUGAGACGCGAAAGCGUGGGGAGCAAACA